GACAGAGGGUGCAAACGUUGUUCGGAAUUACUGGGCGUAAAGCGCACGUAGGCGGUCCCUUAAGUCGGGUGUGAAAGCCCUCGGCUUAACCGAGGAAGUGCAUUCGAAACUGGGGGACUUGAAUACUGGAGAGGAUGGCGGAAUUCCCGGUGUAGAGGUGAAAUUCGUAGAUAUCGGGAGGAACACCAGCGGCGAAGGCGGCCAUCUGGACAGAUAUUGACGCUGAGGUGCGAAAGCGUGGGGAGCAAACAGG
rnacentral:rRNA from 1 species